rnacentral:rRNA from 1 species
AAAGGAAUAGACGGGCACCCGCACAAGCGGUGGAGCAUGCUGUUUAAUUCGAAAAUACGCGAAGAACCUUACCUAGACUUGACAUCCCUUGCAAAGCUAUAGAAAUAUAGUAGAGGUUAUCAAGGUGACAGGUGGUGCAUGGUUGUCGUCAGCUCGUGUCGUGAGAUGUUUGGUUAAGUCCAACAACGAGCGCAACCCUCGUCUUUAGUUGCUAACAUUAAGUUGAGAACUCUAAAGAAACUGCCGGUGCAAGCCGGAGGAAGGUGGGGAUGAGGUCAAAUCAUCAUGCCCCUUACGUCUAGGGCUACAGGCGUGCUACAAUGGCUGGUACAACGAGACGCAACACGGUGACGUGAAGCAAAACUCUUAAAGCCAGUCUCAGUUCGGAUUGGAGUCUGCAACUCGACUCCAUGAAGUUGGAAUCGCUAGUAAUCACGAAUCAGAAUGUCGCGGUGAAUACGUUCCCGGGUGUUGUACACACCGCCCGU